rnacentral:rRNA from 1 species
UUGAGCGAUUUACUUCGGUAAAGAGCGGCGGACGGGUGAGUAACGCGUGGGUAACCUACCCUGUACACACGGAUAACAUACCGAAAGGUAUGCUAAUACGGGAUAAUAUAUUUGAGAGGCAUCUCUUAAAUAUCAAAGGUGAGCCAGUACAGGAUGGACCCGCGUCUGAUUAGCUAGUUGGUAAGGUAACGGCUUACCAAGGCGACGAUCAGUAGCCGACCUGAGAGGGUGAUCGGCCACAUUGGAACUGAGACACGGUCCAAACUCCUACGGGAGGCAGCAGUGGGGAAUAUUGCACAAUGGGCGAAAGCCUGAUGCAGCAACGCCGCGUGAGUGAUGAAGGCCUUCGGGUCGUAAAACUCUGUCCUAAAGGAAGAUAAUGACGGUACUUGAGGAGGAAGCCCCGGCUAACUACGUGCCAGCAGCCGCGGUAAUACGUAGGGGGCUAGCGUUAUCCGGAUUUACUGGGCGUAAAGGGUGCGUAGGCGGUCUUUCAAGUCAGGAGUGAAAGGCUACG